CGGCAACGAGAUCUCAAUGACGUCACUACACACGUAGAACUGGUCGCAGAAGACUCUCGGACGCGGGUUCGAUUCCCGCCGGCUCCACCA
rnacentral:tmRNA from 1 species